rnacentral:rRNA from 1 species
CCUACGGGUGGCAGCAGUGAGGAAUAUUGGUCAAUGGACGAGAGUCUGAACCAGCCAAGUAGCGUGAAGGAUGACUGCCCUAUGGGUUGUAAACUUCUUUUAUAAAGGAAUAAAACGAGGCACGUGUGCCUUUUUGCAUGUACUUUAUGAAUAAGGAUCGGCUAACUCCGUGCCAGCAGCCGCGGUAAUACGGAGGAUCCGAGCGUUAUCCGGAUUUAUUGGGGUUAAAGGGAGCGUAGACGGGUUGUUAAGUCAGUUGUGAAAGGUGGCGGCUCAACCUUAAAAUUGCAAUUGAUACUGGCAGUCUUGAGUACAGUUGAGGUAGGCGGAAUUCGUGGUGUAGCGGUGAAAUGCUUAGAUAUCGCGAAGAACCCCGAUUGCGAAGGCAGCUUACUAAAUUGUGACUGACAUUGAUGCUCGAAAGUGUGGGUAUCAAACAGGAUUAGAUACCCUUGGAGUC